rnacentral:rRNA from 1 species
CCUACGGGAGGCAGCAGUGGGGAAUAUUGCACAAUGGGGGAAACCCUGAUGCAGCGACGCCGCGUGAGUGAAGAAGUAAUUCGUUGUGUAAAGCUCUAUCAGCAGGGAAGAAAAUGACGGUACCUGAGUAAGAAGCCCCGGCUAACUACGUGCCAGCAGCCGCGGUACUACGUAGGGGGCAAGCGUUAUCCGGAUUUACUGGGUGUAAAGGGAGCGUAGACGGCAGUGCAAGUCUGGAGUGAAAGGCGGGGGCUCAACCCCCGGACUGCUCUUGAAACUGUACGGCUGGAGGGCAGGAGAGGUAAGCGGAAUUCCUAGGGUAGCGGUGAAAUGCGUAGAUAUUAGGAGGAACACCAGUGGCGAAGGCGGCUUACUGGACUGUAACUGACGUUGAGGCUCGAAAGCGUGGGGAGCAAACAGGAUUAGAUACCCGGGUAGUC